rnacentral:lncRNA from 1 species
CGGUUAAUAACAGGCGGUUAAAAAUUUUUUGGUUUUUAACCAAAAAAGGGAGGAGCCUGCGCACAAAAAGCUGCGCGUACUUUAUACUGCUGUCAACUGAAAAAUUUAUGAAUAAAAAAACACAGUGAAAAAGUUGAUGGGUAUGUCAUAUUCAAUCCAGAGAGACUUGAUUAUUGUAAAGAGGAAAAGUGAGGUUAAACCCAGAGUUGACAGCCUACGUUUUUGUUGUUGAUAUGUCAUAUAUAUACCAAUUUUAACAAUGGGUCGUUCUGAAUCUGAGGUUUGGAAACAUUUUAAUGUUGUUGCAAAUCCUGAAUGCAAAUACAAGACAGGAAGUUUUAAAUAUUGUGGAAAAAAAUAUGUUUCAAAUGCUGGUAGAAUGAUGAAGCAUCUUGCUCAAGAAUGUCAAAAUUGUGAUGAUGAAAUUUAAACAAAUUUUAUGGAAAUAAUUGUGCAAAAAAAUAAACUUGAUGUCAGACAAUCAUCUGAGCAAUUUGUAGCACUAAUUACAAAGAACAAAACAACUUAAAACAAAGGCUCAAUUGACAGGUUUAUUGAUACUAAAAUGUCCAAAGAAAAUCAUGAUAAAUUGAAUGCUUCUUGUGCACGAGCAAUAUAUUCCAGAGCUUCAAUUAACAUUAUUGUAUUCA